rnacentral:rRNA from 1 species
GCGCCUUGGCGGCAGCUACACAUGCAGUCGAGCGGAUGAAGGGAGCUUGCUCCUGGAUUCAGCGGCGGACGGGUGAGUAAUGCCUAGGAAUCUGCCUGGUAGUGGGGGAUAACGUCCGGAAACGGGCGCUAAUACCGCAUACGUCCUGAGGGAGAAAGUGGGGGAUCUUCGGACCUCACGCUAUCAGAUGAGCCUAGGUCGGAUUAGCUAGUUGGUGGGGUAAAGGCCUACCAAGGCGACGAUCCGUAACUGGUCUGAGAGGAUGAUCAGUCACACUGGAACUGAGACACGGUCCAGACUCCUACGGGAGGCAGCAGUGGGGAAUAUUGGACAAUGGGCGAAAGCCUGAUCCAGCCAUGCCGCGUGUGUGAAGAAGGUCUUCGGAUUGUAAAGCACUUUAAGUUGGGAGGAAGGGCAGUAAGUUAAUACCUUGCUGUUUUGACGUUACCAACAGAAUAAGCACCGGCUAACUUCGUGCCAGCAGCCGCGGUAAUACGAAGGGUGCAAGCGUUAAUCGGAAUUACUGGGCGUAAAGCGCGCGUAGGUGGUUCAGCAAGUUGGAUGUGAAAUCCCCGGGCUCAACCUGGGAACUGCAUCCAAAACUACUGAGCUAGAGUACGGUAGAGG